AGGAAUCCUUCCACCUUGGCCGCCCAAAGUCCUGCGAUUACAUGUGUGAGCCACUAUGCCUGGCCUAUAAUUGCUGUAUUCUAACUUAUCCAUCUCUUAUGCUAAGCUAGCCUUCAACGUUGGAAGCUGAAUUGACAGUUGAAAAAUAAUGACACGUAUACAAGGUGUGUUUGGAGGAUUGCAGAUGCAGGGGCACCGUACUGCUAAAGGAGUGUUGGAAGCUCACUGCAGAAGAUAAUAAAAGCCGACUGAUGUGUAUUACCUGCUGAAAUGUAAGCUGGAGGCACAGGUGAAGAUUGCUAAACCUAAUGAGCAGUUGGGCAGAUGAGACAGACUGUCAGGCCGUGGCAGUUCAGCAGUGGGCGUGCUGCCUGUGAACCAAGUCAUUUGUUCCAGAGGCCUACACUGUCAGAGAUGGCUUUGGAUUUCCAGUUCUGUGUGCUCCUGUCUGGCUCCUGAACCCAGCUGAAGAGAUGAGUCAGUCCCAACUGGUGAAGUACUGAGAAGAAGCUAAGCAGAAGGCAGCAAGGUAUUAAUAAGUGUACCUCUGAGAUUUUAACCACCUCUGACUGUUCCAUGGAAUGGACAAGUAGUAGUCUCUGUCAGAGUUACAUUUUAAAGGAAAAAAAGAAACUUGAAGUCAUCAACUGUUUAUUAAUUUAUGCUGUUAUUUUUGUGUUUACUCACCUGAUUUAUAUUGACUUGUAAAUUAGUAACUUAUGAACUAUUGUUUAUGAAUUCAUUGUCUACAUGUCAGCAAACAAAUUUCCUUCUUAAUAAAGAAUCCGGUGGCUGGGCACAAUGGUUCACAUCUGUAAUCUCAGCAUGUUGGGAGGGCAAGGCAGGAGGAUUCCUUGAGGCCAGGAGUUCAAGACCAGCAUGGGCAACACAGCAAGAUUUCAUCUCUACAAAAAAUGAAAACAUCGGCUGGGCAUGGUGGCUCAUUCCUGUAGUUCAGGCUACUCAGGAGCCUGAGGUAGGAGGAUCACUUGAACCCAGGAGUUUGAGGCUGCAGUGAACUGUGAUCCUAACACUGCUCUCUAGCCUGGGUGACACACCAAGACACCAUCUCUUCAAAGAAGGAAUCUAGGGGCCUCAGUGUGUGCACGCAGCAUGGCUUGUGAAUGCGGAAGUGCAUGUGUGCAUAUCUGUGCUCAAGAAUGUGUUGAUGAUUAUACCUUCUCAGAAUGAAGGUAAUUUUUUUUUUUUUUUUGAGAUGGAGUCUUGCUCUGUCACCAGGCUAGAGUGCAAUGGUGCUCUCAGCUCACUGCAACCUCUUCCUCCCAGGUUCAAGCAAUUCUCCUGCCUCAGCCUCCUGAGUAGUUGGGACUACAGGCAUAUGCCACCACUCCCUGCUAUUUUUUUGUAUUUUAGUAGAGACGAGGUUUCACCAUGUUGGCCAGGAUGGUCUGGAUCCCCGACCUUGUGAUCCACCCCCCUUGGCCUCCCAAACUGUUGGGAUUACAGGUGUGAGCCACCGUGCCUGGCCUGAAGGUCAUUUUUAUAAAGAUCUCUCCAUGUCUUAGAUUUGAUUCUUCCUUUAAAUAUUUUUCUCAUUGACAUUUGAAAGCACCUGACCAUAUAUAAAAUAAUUUUCAUAACUCCGUAAAAGGAUAAUUAUGACAUCAUCUACUAUUUCUGUCUCUUGUCUCACAAAUCUAAACCAUCAACCUCCUUAUUUUUGUAUACUGUCACACUGUGUAUUCCCUGCAUUGAAUGCCUUUCUAUUGAUAUUCUCUGUAAAAAUUGUGGGAAGUUUUUUGCAUCCUAAAUUUUCUGUUACGGGGAUUAAAUAUCCACUAUCUAUGUUUUUCCAAGUUUUACAGCAGCAACGGUAAAUACCACCCUCACAGCAGCCUGUUUGUCCUGCAAUUGUGUUUCUAUCACAUUACACAAAGCCUCUUUGUCUUCUUGGUCAUACCCUACUAAGUUUUUAAAAAAAUUAUGUAAUGUGUUUAUAUACAAAUACAUAUAUAUAUAUGUGUGUACACAUACAGCUGAUAUCUAGUGAGAUUAUGUAGCAUGAACUAUAGAAUUAGCUUGUAAUUUUAAGAAAAUAAAUUAUUUUGUAAGGAUAAAUCUCAUGUUUAAGGGGAAUUACAAUGGAAUCAUUUAGGUAUGCCUCAGCCUAAACAUAAUACGGAAAAAGCCAUAACCAAAAGUCAUGUUAGAGUACUGCUAGGUUACUCAACCUAUCAUCACAUUUAAUUAAAAUGUUAGUUUGAACCAUG